rnacentral:tRNA from 2 species
GGGACCAGGAUGCGAGCGGCAGCAUGCCCGGCUCUUAACCGGCGACGUGAGGGUUCGAGCCCCUCUGGUCCCA